rnacentral:rRNA from 1 species
UACGGAGGAUGCAAGCGUUAUCCGGAAUGAUUGGGCGUAAAGCGUCCGCAGGUGGCAAUGUAAGUCUGCUGUCAAAGCGUCUGGCUCAACCAGAUAAAGGCAGUGGAAACUACAUAGCUAGAGUAAGGUAGGGGUAGAGGGAAUUCCGGGUGUAGCGGUGGAAUGCGUAGAGAUCCGGAAGAACACCGGAGGCGAAGGCGGCUUGCUGGGCGUGAUCUGACGCUGAGGCGCGAAAGCGUGGGGAGCGAACAGG